AUUGAACGCUGGCGGAAUGCUUUACACAUGCAAGUCGAACGGUAGAGGGGGCAACCCCUCGAGAGUGGCGAACGGGUGAGUAAUAUAUCGGAACGUGCCCAGUCGUGGGGGAUAACGUAGCGAAAGUUACGCUAAUACCGCAUACGAUCUAAGGAUGAAAGCGGGGGAUCGCAAGACCUCGCGCGAUUGGAGCGGCCGAUAUCAGAUUAGGUAGUUGGUGGGUAAAGGCUCACCAAGCCAACGAUCUGUAGCUGGUCUGAGAGGACGACCAGCCACACUGGAACUGAGACACGGUCCAGACUCCUACGGGAGGCAGCAGUGGGGAAUUUUGGACAAUGGACGCAAGUCUGAUCCAGCCAUUCCGCGUGCAGGAUGAAGGCCCUCGGGUUGUAAACUGCUUUUGUACGGAACGAAAAGGUCUCUCUUAAUACGGGGGACUCAUGACGGUACCGUAAGAAUAAGCACCGGCUAACUACGUGCCAGCCGCCGCCGUAA
rnacentral:rRNA from 1 species